rnacentral:rRNA from 1 species
ACGAGAUUAUAGGGUAACCUGUAGUCUAGUGGCGGAAGGGUUAGUAAUACAUGAAUAACUUGCCUUUAACCUGGGGAUAACGGCUGGAAACGGCCGCUAAUACCGAAUGCGGUAGUAGGAGGAAGCUUCGAACUAUCAAAGUGGGGGACUUCGAAAGGAGCCUUGCGGUUAAAGAGAGGUUCAUGGGAUAUCAGCUAGUUGGUGUGGUAAAAGCGCACCAAGG